GGGCUCGUGUCGGGCUCUGCAGGCCGGACCUGGCCCGCGGGCUGCAGGUUGCACACCUACCUGGGGAUGGAGGAGCAAGGAUUUCUCCCCUUUUUAAGCCUUUCCUGCUCUGGGAGGAGGAUUGCUUUGUCUCACUUGCAGGUCUGAAACCCGUGGGUGUCACUGCCUAGGAACACUGUGUUGGGGCCUCGCUGAGCAACAUGCACCUGAAUGGUCGCGCUGCCUCGCCUUGCUGUGCCCCCCUCAUCUCCUCUGCAGCGCUUCCCCCAAAGGAGCGUGCUUCUCCCACGGCCCCGGGAGAACAGGAUUGCAAUGACGCAAAGCCGCAGCUCUGGCAGCAGGAUGUAGAGAAUUGAUUUUCAGACACAGAUAACAGAAAAGACUUUUGCAUCUUCCCUACAAUACUCGGGACCUGAGCCCAAGGCAUUGUUUCUCCAAAAGUCAUCUACAUUAAAGGUCCCUUGCUCAGUCCCUAGGCAGUCUGCCACUUGAAGUCAGUGGAAAUUUGGCAGAUGGAGAAGCACCUGACAUAGAGAUUUGGUUUAUGGCUUGAACAGCUUAUUCAAAACUCUAGCACAAAUACUAAACCUGCUAGGCAAAGUGGAAUGCACUGGGCUGCUGCGUCUUCCCUGCAAUGUAAAGGGAGUGAACAUCUGGAUUUUGUAUCUGAUUGAAAUGUGCUGAUCACAUGAUCCUGAAGAGCAGCAGCCCAAUCUGACAAGAGGCUGGUCAGGUUUCACUCUGCUGCACCUUGAC